rnacentral:rRNA from 1 species
GCACAAGCGGUGGAGCAUGUGGUUUAAUUCGAUGAUACGCGAGGAACCUUACCUGGGCUAGAAUGUAGUCUGACCGUGGGUGAAAGCUCACUUUGUAGCAAUACACAGAUUAUAAGGUGCUGCAUGGCUGUCGUCAGCUCGUGCCGAGAGGUGUUGGGUUAAGUCCCGCAACGAGCGCAACCCCCAUCACUAGUUGCCAUCAGGUAAUGCUGGGAACUCUAGUGAAACUGCCGUCGUAAGACGCGAGGAAGGAGGGGAUGAUGUCAAGUCAUCAUGGCCUUUAUGCCCAGGGCUACACACGUGCUACAAUGGAGAGGACAAAGGGCUGCCACUUAGUGAUAAGGAGCUAAUCCCAAAAACCUCUUCUCAGUUCAGAUUGGAGUCUGCAACUCGACUCCAUGAAGCUGGAAUCGCUAGUAAUCGUAUAUCAGCAAUGAUACGGUGAAUACGUUCCCGGGC